AUUGAACGCUGGCGGCAUGCCUUACACAUGCAAGUCGAACGGCAGCACGGGUGCUUGCACCUGGUGGCGAGUGGCGAACGGGUGAGUAAUACAUCGGAACAUGUCCUGUAGUGGGGGAUAGCCCGGCGAAAGCCGGAUUAAUACCGCAUACGAUCUACGGCUGACAGCGGGGGCCCUUCGGGCCUCGCGCUAUAGGGUUGGCCGAUAGCUGAUUAGCUAGUUGGUGGGGUAAAGGCCUACCAAGGCGACGAUCAGUAGCUGGUCUGAGAGGACGACCAGCCACACUGGGACUGAGACACGGCCCAGACUCCUACGGGAGGCAGCAGUGGGGAAUUUUGGACAAUGGGCGAAAGCCUGAUCCAGCAAUGCCGCGUGUGUGAAGAAGGCCUUCGGGUUGUAAAGCACUUUUGUCCGGAAAGAAAUCCUUGGCUCUAAUACAGUCGGGGGAUGACGGUACCGGAAGAAUAAGCACCGGCUAACUACGUG
rnacentral:rRNA from 1 species